rnacentral:lncRNA from 1 species
AUGGGCCCAGAGGAGCACAAGGUGAGUGGACCAGAUGGAAGGAAGAGUCAAGAGCUUCCAAGAGGAGCCAGGACUCAGCAGGGAUGCCAAAGUUCCAAGGCUCAGCACACAGGGAGGAAUGAGAGGAGCUCCAGAGGGUCCUACAUGGGGUUUGGUGAGCAGUUCUGGGUUUCCAGAGGCCCCUCUGGGUGCUGUGCAGGAGGGCUGAUGGUGGGGGCAGUGGAGGUGGGAUGGGCAGCAGGUAGGGAGGGAGGGUGGGCAGCGGCUCCAGGGGACAGGGGGCAUGAAGGGAGAGGCUGGGGGUGCUGGGCUGCAGCAGGAGCUGGGUGGAGGGACCGAGGACCCCCAUGUGCACGUGGGCGAGCUCCCAGGCCCCAGCCAUGCAGACACUACCUACCCUUUCAGCUGUACAGAGGGGAGCAGCCAUUUCCUGGCUACCCCUCAGAUCACCAGAAGCCCAAAUAUGGCCUGCGGUGGGCCUGUGGGUCAGGUGUGACCUGUCACAGAAGGGGGUGGUGGGGAGAAGUGUCACAGAGUACCAGCCCCAGAGGGACUUUGGAUGUGGUGGUGUUAUUGGUUGUUGUCAUGAUGGGGGUGAUGGGCACUCCUGCCUGGGGGGUGGGUGGAGCCAGGGGUCAAUGCCUAGGGCAGCCCACUUGCCCACCCACCAUGUCUGUCUAAGUCAGGCACCUGCACAUGCCGGACUCAAGGGAAGGACGGGGGGUGGAACAGAGGAACUCCUUGGCAGGACCCAUGUGACAUGGGGCUUUCCUGGGAUGGUGUCCAGGCAGUGGAGAAUGACAGAGUCCCCGAACUCAGGAUCCCAGGGUGCCCCGGUCCUGGGCCACGCCCAAGGAAAUGCCCCACACUCAGGCUGUCCUGCACAUGGCCUCAGUGACCAUCCACAAGGGACUCAAGAGGAGCAGAUGCAGUAUACACAUGCUGGGAGGGCCCAAUCCUUGGCCCCCACCCCCGUGGGGCCCUCAGGCCAUGUGCUGGCAGCUUUCCAUGGCCCCUAGAAGGAGAGCUCAACUCCCACAUGGUGCACCACACCCCUACAGUCACCUCUUCUCUGCACUCCAGCUACACAGGCCCCUUUGCAGUGGCCGUGCAUGCAGGUCCAGGCCAUUCCAAACCUCAGGGCCUUUGCACUUGCUAUUCCCUCUGCCCAGAAGGCUCCUCCCCAGACCUCUGCAAGGCCCACAAACUAUAACUGCUGACAUGACACCUGUCACUAUAUCUGCUGUGCAUCACCCCCACAAACUAGAUCUGCUGACAUGUCACCUCCUCCUGUAAGUCCUUUCCAAUGCCCUGGCCAGAGCAUUGCUGUGACUCGCCUAAUUUUAUCUUCCAUGAAGCACCUCUGACUACAGCGCCUAGAAUGACCUGGUGUUAUCAAGAGUGCUCCUCUUACCCCUGAGACCCCGCCUGGCAGGACCGACAAGCGACAGGGUGGGAGGCCUGGGGGGGUGGGGCUAAAGUCCAGCUCCCUGCUGAGCUCCCCAAGCCAGCGGCGCCUGCGCACAGGGGGCUGCAUUAUCCCAGGGGCAGGAACCCAAGGGGCUGGGCAGGUGGGGUGGGGUGGGGCCAGGACCAGUCACCUGGCAUCACUCUUUCUCCUGCCUUCCACUUGGGACAGCAGAGUCUGAGAAUUCGGUCAAAUCUGGAGGUUCAUCCAAAUCAGACCCUCCCCAAAGUCACCACAGAAGAGAUGGCAGCAAAGGUGCCUCCUCCAAGCCCCUCCAUAGCACACGGUGUGGAUGGCCAGCCGAAGGUCUGGGAUUCUGAGACUCAGGAAGGCAAGAGGCCUGGCCAUGCCCCAGCUCUUCUUGGGGAAGAGCUGUCUCCUGUGGAAGCCUCAGUCUGCUCAUACAAGGAAAGGGGCCCACGCUGGCAGCAGCCAUGGCUCAUGUGGUCAAGUUUAUUUGUGUUUAUGUCUGAGCCAAGCAUUCUCAAUCUGGGAUGCUCUCGAGGGUGCCCUGAAGUUAUGCAUAAAUGCAGGAGUGAGGGUCCCAGCACUCACAUGGGUCUCUAAGAGGACUCUGGCCUCCCAAGGGUUACAUUCCACAGAUCACCCCUAAAGAUGGGGAAGUUGCCUAUCCCUCACAUGUGAGGAAAUGAGGCCAGACUCCUCGAGAACCAGACUUGAAAGUUACCUAUAACCAGGACCCAAACCUGCUGGCCAGAUGCAGCUGUGGCACAGCAGCAUCAGCCCCAAGUGCCCGUUCACCAAGCUGCCGAACCCCUGGCCACAGCCCUGUGCCAGGAUCAACGCUGGCUCUGAAUCUACAGCAAAACUCAGUUCUCUCCAGGUUUCCCGGCCCCUUUAGAACAGCAAUAUGCUACUUAAAUGUGUAUUUUUAUUACUUUCUCUAUUAUAAGUAAAAAUAUUGUAAUGCCAUCUGAUGAUCCGCCAGCUGUCUAUGUGGGAACCGGUGGCGCCAUUCCGGAGUGAAACUCGGGCGGGCGGGCAAGCGCGGUGUGCUGUCUGGGGAGGCGCAUUUGGAUUUCUGCUUAGGUUGGCCCCACAUAUGCCAGGCCACAUGUUCCCAGUCUGGGAACCGGAUAAUUGUGCCCAUUUAUCUUGUUGUAGUUGAAAGUGCAAACAUUAUAAAAAUCACACGAGUGUUAGUGGUGGUUUAGGGGGAGGUAGAGGUGCAGACAGACCGUGCAGGCAGGACAGCAGCCGUGGUGCUGGUGAGUGCAGGGGGGCAUGGGGCACCGCGGCCCGGACCCCUCCUCACCCCGGCCCUGGCAGUACCACCGCGAGGGCGGCUCCCGGACAGACAGCUAGGGUAGGCACACUCCUGACAAACGGAUCUGCGGUUAAUAACGGGAAAGACGGCGUGGCCGUGGCCAAGUGAAGACAACGGUUUCUUAUCUAGACCGGAGGUUGCAAGCCGAGCCUGUAGGACAAAUCUGGCCAAUGCGAAUUUUUUUAAACAUCUUUGAAAUAGUUGCCAACAUUCGGAAAUCAAGAGAUGUUAUAAACUCAUCUAGACUUCUGAUUUCUCUCAAAAAGCCCAAACCACUGGCAGAUCUGAGCCCUGGCCUCUGCCUGACGAAAAUGAGCCCGUCUCCCCAGGCCCCAUACAGCCUGAGGGGAGGUGACCAGGGCGCCAGCCCCUGGGGACCAGAAAGGAACCCGGGGUGUCCCUGUGGCAAGCCUAGCCUCAGCCCUGAUUCACUAAGGGGUCUCGGGGGCCCUCAGCAGGACACAAAGGACCUCCAAGGUCAGCCCCACCUGUUGGGAUGGCUCUCCGUUCCCUGCACCCUCUUCCCGGCCCCCAGACCCUGUUGUUUCUCUGCCACCAAGGACCAGGAUUCUGGCCUAUUUGGGCUGAUGGCUACCAGCCCCUAGAACACAAUCAGUGCUCCAUCAGUGCUGUCUAAUGGACAGCUCUCUUUCUGGCUGGCGCACCCAACAGGCACCACCCAUCUGUGAGACUUGCCUGACCCCAGUGGGUACAUGAGUUUAUGGCCCUGCUCUGUGCCAAGACACCCAUUUUACAGAUGGGAAAACUGAGGCCUUGGGGGCUGCAGAUGGUACAGGACCCAGUGUAGGCCCGAGCCUCUGGACUGAGAGUCCCCUCCCCUGUCCUCACCAUUCUCUGAAAAUCCAGAUGGAAAUGCAUGUCCUCCCACACUGGGACAAGGCCGACAGUGUGGCAUGCCACGCCUGUCCCCAAAGGCCUGGGGUGCAGUGAGGCAGGAAUGGCCUAUGUCGCUAAUAAUGCUGGCAGAUAGGGCCGGUCAGGGUGGGCGGAGGGAAGGAGCAAGGAGAGCAUGGAUAACAGUCCCAGCCAUCACUUUGAUGUUCAGCCCAUGAAACUUCUCAAAUUAUAAAAGAGAAUCACUUUUGAGCCUUUAAGUGGCUCCGAAUAAACCGACUGUCCAAAGAUACAAUGAAAAACCGACACCGGCUCUCCGUAACAAGGCAGGAAAAAUUGUCAGUGCUGAGAUGAAUAUUAAAAGCCCUAUCCGUGAAAAACACCCUGGAAAUAUGUUUUAAAGGAGCAGUGUGAGGCAGACGAUUAU